GGGAGUAGCUUCGGCGCCAAUCCUAGAUUCGAUAGGUUCUGCCAUUAAACUGAAUAUCCAAAUGUGCAUAAAUCCUGAAUCCUAGGCUAUUCUGGCCAAUCAGCAAGAGAAAGAUUUGAGAUUUAAGAAAUUUGCAGCAACAAGAAUUGACUGAUGGCAACUACUAUUUCUUAAUAAGAGUAUUUUACUUAUGUUCUCUGGUUCUUGAGAUUCAAAAUGUAUUUUGAGAAGCAGCAACAGGAGAACAUCUGGAGAGAGAAGGAGAUUCUCUCUUAGAAGGGAAAUCAAAGAGGAAACAAACAAAUGGAAGAACAUUCCAUGCUCAUGGAUAGGAAGAAUCAAUAUUGUGAAAAUGGCCAUACUGCCCAAGGUAAUUUAUAGAUUAAAUGCCGUCCCCAUCAAGCUACCAAUGACUUUCUUCACAAAAUUGGAAAAAACUACUUUAAAGUUGAUAUGGAACCAAAAAAGAGCCUGCACUGCCAAGACGAUCCUAAGGCAAGAGAACAAUGCUGGAGGCAUCAUGCUACCUGACUUCAAACUAUACUACAAGGCUACAGUAACCAAAACAGCAUGGUACUGGUACCAAAACAGAGAUAUAAACCAAUGGAACAGAACAGAGGCCUCAGAAAUAACACCACACAUCUACAACUAUCUGAUCUUUGACAAACCUGACAAAAACAAGAAAUGGGGAAAGGAUUCCCUAUUUAAUAAAUGGUGCUGGGAAAACUGGCUAGCCAUCUGUAGAAAGCUGAAACUGGAUCCCUUCCUUACACCUUAUACAAAAAUUAAUUCAAGAUGGAUUAAAGACUUAAAUGUUAGACCUAAAACCAUAAAAACCCUAGAAGAAAACCUAGGCAAUACCAUUCAGGACAUAGGCAUGGACAAGAACUUCAUGACUAAAACACCAAAAGCAAUGGCAACAAAAGCCAAAAUUGACAAAUGGGAUCUAAUUAAACUAAAGAGCUUCUGCACAGCAAAAGAAACUAUCAUCAGAGUGAACAGGCAACCUACAGAAUGGGAGAGAAUUUUUACAAUCUACCCAUCUGACAAAGGGCUAAUAUCCAGAAUCUACAAAGAGCUUAAACAAAUUUACAAGAAAAAAAUCAAACAACCCCAUCAAAAAGUGGGCAAAGGAUAUGAACAGACACUUCUCAAAAGAAGACAUUUAUGUAGCCAACAGACACAUGAAAAAAUGCUCAUCAUCACUGGCCAUCAGAGAAAUGCAAAUCAAAACCACAAUGAGGUACCAUCUCACACCAGUUAGAAUGGCAAUCAUUUAAAAGUCGGGAAACAACAGGUGCUGGAGAGGAUGUGGAGAAAUAGGAACACUUUUACACUGUUGGUGGGACUGUAAACUAGUUCAACCAUUGUGGAAGUCAGUGUGGUGAUUCCUCAGGGAUCUAGAACUAGAAAUACCAUUUGACCCAGCCAUCCCAUUACUGGUUAUAUACCCAAAGUAUAAUAAAACAUGCUGCUAUAAAGACACAUGCACACGUAUGUUUAUGGUGGCACUAUUCACAAUAGCAAAGACUUGGAACCAACUAUGAUAGACUGGAUUAAGAAAAUGUGGCACAUAUACACCAUGGAAUACUAUGCAGCCAUAAAAAAUGAUGAGUUCAUGUCCUUUGUAGGGACAUGGAUGAAGUUGGAAACCAUCAUUCUGAGCAAACUAUCGCAAGGACAGAAAACCAAACACCACAUGGUCUCACUCAUAGGUGGGAAUUGAACAAUGAGAACACUUGGACACAGGGUGGGGAACAUCACACACCGGGGCCUGUCGUGGGUUAGGGGUAGGGGGAGGGAUAGCAUUAGGAGAUAUACCUAAUGUAAAUGACGAGUUAAUGGGUGUAGCACACCAACAUGGCACAUGUAUACACAUGUAACAAAGCUGCAUGUUGUGCACAUGUACCCUAGAACUUAAAGUAUAAUUUUAAAAAAAAAGAAGGGGAAUAAAAAACAAAAAUAAAAGAAUACAUUUUUCUGACAUUUCAAGGAAUGGGAUCUCUAGGUAGGAGGAGACAACUGACCACCCCACCCCAACUCUGUGUCCUUGGGGUUCACCUUCCCAUUGAUGCCCCCAUUCUGAAUCCUCAGGGGUCUACAAUAAAACUCCAACCAAAAUAGGAAGAAAACCCCUUUCCUUGGUUUCCUUUGGCAUGGCUUAGGCAGGAUAGAACCUUCAGUACAACUCUACUAUAGGAAGGGACGAGGAGAAAGGGAAAUAAAAGAGUACAAAAACAUAAAAACAAUACAGUUUCCAAGCACAGGUUCCUGAUACUCCUGCUGUCUGUCCUGCAUGUACCUGCUGUCUGAGAAAUGUGCAUAGCCUCAAAGUAUCCUCUUAGUAAUCUCCACCAAGAGUUCCUUUUAAUCAUCUGUAGCUAAACUAAGCAAGACUAGGUGACUUUUGCUUGCAAUCUAUUACUGAUCCAAUUUCUAAUAUGAAAAACUUUCCUCUUCCCAGGUACUUUAUUUCUGUAAUAAUCUCGCCUUUCAGAUGAGAUCCUAAUUCCUUAACUGCCAAGAUGUGGCUACAUGUAUAACCACAGCUUAUGAGAUAUUGUGUAAAUUUAAAGUUUAAAGUAAUUUACCUUCAACAACAGGAGACUUGUUUCAUUAUACUACUUUUAAUACCAUCAGAGGUAUAAAAAGAAUGAGCAUUUGGUGUUAGAACAUCCAAGUUUGAAUCCUAAAUCCAUCAUUUACUAGUUAUUUCACUCAAAGCAAAGCAGAAACUUCACAGAUUUCCAGUGUCCUCAUCUGGAAAAUGGGGAUAAUAAUGUCACCUCUGCCUGCAUCACUAUAAUAUUCUAC
ensembl:lncRNA novel transcript, antisense to STXBP5L